rnacentral:misc_RNA from 1 species
GAUGAAGAACGUAGCAAAAUGCGAUAAGUAAUGUGAAUUGCAGAAUUCAGUGAAUCAUCGAAUCUUUGAACGCACAUUGCGCCCGCUGGUAUUCCGGCGGGCAUGCCUGUUCGAGCGUCAUUACAACCCUCAGGCCCCCGGGCCUGGCGUUGGGGAUCGGCGGAGCCCCCCGUGGGCACACGCCGUCCCCCAAAUGCAGUGGCGGUCCCGCCGCAGCUUCCAUCGCGUAGUAGCUAACACCUCGCGACUGGAGAGCGGCGCGGCCACGCCGUAAAACACCCAACUCUUCUGAAGUUGACCUCGAAUCAGGUAGGAAUACCCGCUGAACUUAAGCAUAUCAAUAAGCGGAGGA